ACCCCAAUGACAGUCAACACCGAUUUACUUUUCCAGGAUAUAGAGUAAGAAGCACUAUCUCGGAGGUACUCUCAAUGAAUCAUGAGAAAGGAAACUCCAAGCUUGCAUGACACGCUUUACCAGAAACAGAGAGCAGCUUCGAUAGACCAAAGUUUCCAGAGGUCUGCCAGUCCUCCAAAUCCAGAAAUUCCUCCGAUGAUGAGUCAGAAGCCUCGACAGAUAAUUUGAAGGGAGCAAACCAAGGUGAAGAAUAGGGUAAUAUACAGGUUCGAAUCCGGGUUUAAUGAUAGUGCCCAUGGGAACUAACACAGACCUGAACCCGAGGAUUUAUAACACUCCAUUAAGAGCUUUUGAGGUCGGAAAAUCUAUGACUGUGAAGAGAGGAAGGGAACCAUUUGUUGAGUUACAAGAGGCCUCUGCAACCCAGACAAAAGCAAAAAAGGUUGGGGAUCGGAGAUGAAGACAACCUUGAUGGAAUAGAAAAGGUCGUUCUCAAGUUCUUCAACAAUGACUUAGGUCAGUCCCCAACAAAGGCAAUCCAGUUGAGCUCGCUAGCGUCAGAUCAAGUUUUGUUGGUGCUCUAGGAACACGAAUUUGGCAGCUCAUGCGGCAGCCAAGUCUGGUUUUGUUUCUUGCUGUAAGUCCUGUAAUGCUAUCUCUAUCAAGCUCUCUACUCCCAUUUGUUGGGACUUUUU